rnacentral:lncRNA from 1 species
AAACCAGAAGAGAAGAGAAACCAAGGAAGAACAAACCUUAGGUGGGAAAAAUCAAAGAGAAAGUGUUGGAAUUCAAGGAUUUGAUCAAGCAAAGGUAAAAUUUCUUUGAUUUUGCUAGUGAUUUACCUUACCCAUGCAUUUUUCCUUAAUUUCCAUGGUUUAAAAACAUGCUUUCAUGGUGAAUUCAUGGCUGGUCAAAAUGGGUAUGGAGAGAGAAUGAUAUUGGAUUUGUUUGAUUUUUAGGUAUGUUAGUGUUUUUAGGUGAUUAAUGAUGUGUAGCAUGAAAACAAGUGAAGAAAACCACCAAAGGUUUGGUGUCCAUCAAUAGCCGAAUUCUCUAAGUGAAUAAUGAGGAAGAAUUGGAUGUUAUUCUAGGUGAUUUGAUUAAGAAAUAAUAGUUUUUGGUGUAGGAAUUAAUGAAUUAUGGAGAGAAAAUUAAGUAGGAAAAAUCACGGAGUUAGUGUGCCAUUGUUGGUCGAAAGUUUCAAGAAGAAAAGUGAAGAUAAAUUUUGCCUAAUUGUGUGUUAAUUAGUUUGUGUUUGGUGAAUUGAGGGAUUGGAAAAGAAAUGAAGCAAGUUGGAGUGAAAUUGGACGCAUUGGCAAAUUUAUCGGAUAAAAAAUCGACUUAGACCAAUACUGGGUCUAGAUGGCUACCCGUGCAUUUUUCAUUUCAUAUCACACAUAUAUAUCGAGCUUGAAAUAGCUUAUGACUAUUAGACACAAUUUAAUUGGAAUAUGUGUCAUGGAUUAUGGCUAGGUGGUGAGCCAUUGGAUACGGGUAAAGGACUGUACUCGCAGACUAAAAAUAGGAGUAUUUCUACUCCUAAUACUGUAAGUGGACAAUCUAUCAUCUUAAAUAUCUAGAGUAAUUAUACUUGUUUGAUGCUUUUAUUGAAUGGUGAGUUUAAAUUAUAAAAUAUUAUAUUUUCUAAUUAAAAUAUUUUUUUUUAUAAAAAUGAUAUUUAUACUGGUUUUGAAAUCAAAUAUUGUUUUGGGAAAAUUGAGUAUAUGGAGACUAUGUUGAAUUUAUGAUUUUAUAUGUUAUUGAAAUUAUGGCUUAUGACACUAUGGUAGCAUGAUGGCUAAAUUUUUAGGGUUGACAUGAAAUAUAUGAACAGUUUUGGAUUGGUCCCGAUAGACUGGAUUAAAUUUUAUUCGCCAUAUUAUGCUACUGAAAAUUUUAUGGGUUUGGUGGUAUAUUAAACGGUCACUGCAGUGGUGGGGGUUUCCAUGGAUUGCCUAUGAGAGGGGCACGGUAACCCAAUUAUAUAUUUACCUCCAGGGGGAUGUUGGAUGAAGUAUCUCCUGAGGUAAGAUUUGAGUGCACCUCACGUUCGGGCUACCACGUGAGAGUGAGACCCAGCUAACGCCAAGGAACGGCUGUGUGUCAGAUGCAAAAACAUGUUUAUGGGUAUGAGACAUUUAACAGCCUUGGCGGUCUCAGUGGGAUACCUUGACGAAGGUACCCGCGAGAAUGAUUCUGGCAGUGGCCAAGUUUAAGAAAUUCAUAAGCCGGGAAAUUUUGAUGAAAAGAAAUUGUUUGGUAUAGAUUGAAACGAAUUUUGCGUUAUGAACAUUAUUGAGAUAUAACGUUUUUAUUUUGUCUCCAUCUACUCGGCUUUAGAUGCUUUUGAUGGUAAUUGUUUACUCACUGAGAUUAUGUAAUCUCACCCCUCUUCCUAUUCAUUUUUCAGGCUCAGGACAGUUUGUUGAUAAGUGAUUAAGACGAGAAUUAAUCUCGGAGUUGCAUCUUAGAAAGUAAGAGUUCGUAGCCCUACACCUUCUUGGACAAUUAGGGGCCCACGUAUCACUGUAAAUGAAAUUUCAUACUUUAAUUAUCUUUAUUACUAUAUGAAUAAAUUUAUUUUACUCUUACGCUACAAAAGUUAUUUUAGGAAGACUUUGAAAAUUUUGUAUUUUAAGAAAAUAG